rnacentral:lncRNA from 1 species
AAAUCCUAUGUGUCUGCUCCCGGAGCUGCCACAACCCAUCUUCCCACAACUCGGAACUUGGAAAAAGGAACCCAGGACACGACUUUGCUUUUCUUUUGGACCUAGUUGGUGAUUAUACUCUGUCUCCCAUGGAGACCACGUCUUGCAUCCUUCCUUCUAUAUGGGAUUUAGGAUAGAAAUUAAAAAGAAAACAUAUUAUUUUGAGUCUUGAUUUGGAGAAAGGUAGUAUUCAGGAGGAAGUAGGCUAUGAUACACAUAGAAAAUUUGAGGACAGUGUUACUUAACAAGGACAUUUCUGUCUCUGCAGAAGUCACAGCUUGGAGGAAACCAGUUUGCACUAUUUGAUGAGGAAUUUGGCCACCAAACCACUGAUACUUUCCCAAAGAUACAAGUUAACAGGAUAUGCUUCUGGCCUGUUUCUGGAUUCUAAGGGUAGAACCAGCAUAAAACUAGUCAGUCCAAGUAUUUCUAAAGAUCCACAGACACAGUUCUCCUGGAUUUGGGAAGCCUAGAGAUAUUAGCACAAUAAUUAAGGCCCAAGGUAAAAGCAACAGCAGCCUGAAAAUGCAAAAGACCAUACAUUUUAAUGCAACUUUUAAAAGCCUUUCCACUGCACAGUGAAAGAAAACCACAAACUCCUUGUUUAAUAAGUGGGAUCACGUGCUUUUAACACGAGGAAAAGGUCAAUCUGAAGCAACUGAUAUGGAACUGCCAGAGUAGGAGUUGAAAAUCUUCCUAAACUGCUGGAGGAUACACCUCUGAUAGCUUGAGACAAAUAUCCUCUUGAUCAUUGUUUCACCAUAUUUGUCUUUGCUCAUGGAGAACCAUUUUGAUCCGUGGUUUAGCCUCCCAGGUGAUUGAACAAUACCGGUGAUCUGAGGCAGACCCUCUGUGACGGAUAACAG